ACAACAGAUGGAGAUGUUGAAGACACCAUAAACAACAGAUGGAGAUGUUGAAGACACCAUAAACAACAGAUGGAGGUGUUGAAGACACUAUAAACAACAGAUGGAGAUGUUGAAGACACCAUAAACAACAGAUGGAGGUGUUGAAGACACCAUAAACAACAGAUGGAGAUGUUGAAGACACCAUAAACAACAGCAAAUCUUGUCGUAACCUGAUCAACUUCUUUCAACAGACCUGGGUGGUCUGAUGGUGAGUCAAUCAACC